GAUGAACGCUGGCGGCGUGCCUAAUACAUGCGAGUCGAGCGAACGGACGAGAAGCUUGCUUCUCUGAUGUUAGCGGCGGACGGGUGAGUAACACGUGGAUAACCUACCUAUAAGACUGGGAUAACUUCGGGAAACCGGAGCUAAUACCGGAUAAUAUUUUGAACCGCAUGGUUCAAAAGUGAAAGACGGUCUUGCUGUCACUUAUAGAUGGAUCCGCGCUGCAUUAGCUAGUUGGUAAGGUAACGGCUUACCAAGGCAACGAUGCAUAGCCGACCUGAGAGGGUGAUCGGCCACACUGGAACUGAGACACGGUCCAGACUCCUACGGGAGGCAGCAGUAGGGAAUCUUCCGCAGUGGGCGAAAGCCUGACGGAGCAACGCCGCGUGAGUGAUGAAGGUCUUCGGAUCGUAAAACUCUGUUAUUAGGGAAGAACAUAUGUGUAAGUAACUGUGCACAUCUUGACGGUACCUAAUCAGAAAGCCACGGCUAACUACGUG
rnacentral:rRNA from 1 species